CUCACAAAAUCCCCCAUUAGCCUAAAUAAUUGCCCAAGAACAUCGUUAUAUACAAUCUCACCCUUUUCUUUCAUUCAAUUGUUGGUCCAUUUUUUGGCCUCAACAGUUUUCCAUCAGUAUUGAGGAAUGGUUUGUCGAAAUUGGGUGUUCCUCGUGAGGUUUUUGGAGUUCUAUUUAAUUGGAUUGAUGCUAAUGAAGACUAUCUAAAGAUCCCGGAAGCAAAAGGGCAGAUUAGUGCUAUUCGAAGUGAGGCAUUCUUCAUUCCCUUGUAUGAGCUUUACCUCACAUAUGUGGAAUUUUCAGGUUAACAUUUGGACCAAAGGAGUCCAUCAAGAAUAUCUCAAGAAGCUGCCAACUCUUAUGUUUUUCCAUGAAUCUGUCAUAUUUUUGCUGCAGCAGGU